CGACUAACAUGAAGCUGGAAUCGCUAGUAAUCGCAGGUCAGAAUGCUGCGGUGAAUACGUUCCCGGGUCUUGUACACACCGCCCGUCACACCAUGGGAGUUGGAAAUGCCCGAAGCCAGUGACCCAACCGUAAGGAGGGAGCUGUCGAAGGUGGAGCCGAUGACUGGGGUGAAGUCGUAACAAGGUAAC
rnacentral:rRNA from 1 species